CUCCAGAAUAUAAAGAAGUGCAUGUAUUUGAGACCGAGAACGUAACACCAUCUUGUAGUUAUUCCUCGGCAUUAAGUCUCCUUUGGUAUCGACAGCCUAAUACAUCAACUCUUCAGUUCCCUAUACUCAUCCUACAAAGCUCUGAAAAAAGUAAUACAGACUUCAGAUGAGCAUCUGUCAGGAAAACUGAACGUGGACAAAAAUCAUGUGAAUUUGGAAAUCCCCUUUUCCAGAGUUAAAGACUGUGCAGACCAUGGUAACAGGAAGUGAAAUCUUAAUGUACAAAAAGCUGACAGCUUGAGAUCUCAUGGGGUUUAUCAUGAGUUAGGAGGAGCUUCAAGCAGCUCUAGAGAUCAUAAGUGCCAUCAUAGAUGCACUAUUUCAGCACGAUGCUGCUCACCACAGUUAUCCUGCUCUGUGCUGUUGGGAGUGGAAGUUUUGAGAGUCCCAUUUCAUCAGACCAAACUGAGGUUAUUCACGAGGAGGGUGCAAGUAUAACUUUGUCCUGUAGUUACUCAACUGCAGUUAGUUUAUAUUGGUACCGCCAAUAUCCCAGAUCAGCUCCUGAAUAUCUUUUAUCAGUUUUUCAAACCUCUGGACGGGUCCAGAGCGCAGAGAAUCUGGAUUCUCGGUUUUCAGCAGGACUGAAUGACAAGAAAAACCGUGUGGAUCUGAUCGUCUCCUCUGUCAAAGUGACAGAUUCUGCUCUGUACUACUGUGCUCUGCAGCCCACAGUGACAGGAAACCUUUACACACUGUACAAAAACUUGCCUAGAAAUAGCAAUGGAGUACCUGAUAAUCUCCAUUGGUACCGUCAGUAUCCCAGAUCUUCACUAAAGUUCCUCCUUCACAUCUAUGAAAGUGGGGUGAUGAGUGACAACAUACCACAGCGUUUAACUCCAAGAAUUAAUAAAAACACGAAACGAGUGGAUCUGGAGAUCUCUUCUGCUGCAGUAUCAGACUCUGCUGUGUACUACUGCGCCCUGAGGCCCACAGUCACAGGAAACAAAGCUACGCUGUACGAAAACAUGAGAAAUGUAUAA